rnacentral:rRNA from 1 species
GGGAAAUUGUUGAAAGGGAAGCGCUUGCAACCAGACCUGCCUGCAGUUGCUCAUCCGGGCUUUUGCCCGGUGCACUCUUCUGCUGUCAGGCCAGCAUCGGUUCGGGCGGUCGGAUAAAGGCUUCGGGAAUGUAGCUCCUCUCGAGGAGUGUUAUAGCCCGUUGCGAAAUGCGGCCAGCCUGAACUGAGGUCCGCGCUUCGGCUAGGAUGCUGGCGUAAUGGUUGUAAGCGGCCCGUCUUGAAACACGGACCAAGGAGUCUAACAUCUGUGCGAGUGUUUGGGUGUCAAACCCGUACGCGUAAUGAAAGUGAACGGAGGCGGGAACCCCUCGGGGUGCACCGUCGACCGAUCCUGAUGUCUUCGGAUGGAUUUGAGUAAGAGCAUAGCUGUUGGGACCCGAAAGAUGGUGAACUAUGCCUGAAUAGGGUGAAGCCAGAGGAAACUCUGGUGGAGGCUCGCAGCGGUUCUGACGUGCAAAUCGAUCGUCAAAUUUGGGCAUAGGGGCGAAAGACUAAUCGAACUAUCUAGUAGCUGGUUCCUGCCGAAGUUUCCCUCAGGAUAGCAGUAACGUUUUCAGUUUUAUGAGGUAAAGCGAAUGAUUAGAGGCCUGGGGGUUGAAACAACCUUCACCUAUUCUCAAACUUUAAAUAUGUAAGAAGUCCUUGUUGCUUAGUUGAACGUGGACAUUUGAAUGUAUCGUUACUAGUGGGCCAUUUUUGGUAAGC